UACAGAGGUGGCAAGCGUUGUUCGGAAUUACUGGGCGUAAAGGGCGCGUAGGCGGUCUUGCAAGUCCCGUGUGAAAUCCCUCGGCUCAACUGAGGAACUGCACGGGAAACUGUUUGGCUUGAGUUCGGGAGGGGGAAGCGGAAUUCCGGGUGUAGCGGUGAAAUGCGUAGAUAUCCGGAGGAACACCGGUGGCGAAGGCGGCUUCCUGGACCGACACUGACGCUGAGGCGCGAAAGCUAGGGGAGCAAACGGG
rnacentral:rRNA from 1 species